rnacentral:piRNA from 1 species
UUAAUUUGCGGUACACGAAUU